rnacentral:rRNA from 1 species
AUUGAACGCUGGCGGUAGGCCUAACACAUGCAAGUCGAACGGCAGCACAGUAAGAGCUUGCUCUUACGGGUGGCGAGUGGCGGACGGGUGAGGAAUACAUCGGAAUCUACUUUUUCGUGGGGGAUAACGUAGGGAAACUUACGCUAAUACCUCAUACUACCUACGGGUGAAAGCAGGGGAUCUUCGGACCUUGCGCGAUUGAAUGAGCCGAUGUCGGAUUAGCUAGUUGGCGGGGUAAAGGCCCACCAAGGCGACGAUCCGUAGCUGGUCUGAGAGGAUGAUCAGCCACACUGGAACUGAGACACGGUCCAGACUCCUACGGGAGGCAGCAGUGGGGAAUAUUGGACAAUGGGCGCAAGCCUGAUCCAGCCAUACCGCGUGGGUGAAGAAGGCCUUCGGGUUGUAAAGCCCUUUUGUUGGGAAAGAAAAGCAGCAGGUUAAUACCCCGCUGUUCUGACGGUACCCAAAGAAUAAGCACCGGCUAACUUCGUG